UUUUUUCCUUGAUGUAGUUAUAUGUUAUGUCAUAAUGAAACACAAAUGCCAAAAGUUGCUUUAUAUCUCUGUUGUAUAUAAAAUAAUUUUGGAAAAUUUCUUCUAAAGGUAUGCAGUAGUGAUUAAAAUAUAAAUCAGUAUAUCUUUUCAAACAGAAUUUUAGCAAUGACAAUCAGUAUGUGUAAUUUAUGAAAUGGUAAAAUUUCCUGCUGGGGGCCUAUCCUCCAAUUCUAGAAAAUUUACAGAGAAGAAAGAAUAUUAUAGAUUAAUUAAAAUAAUAAACAGUAACUUGUACAUCUGAAAAUAGUCAUCAGUAAGUAUAAAAGGGACAAAUUAUUGUAGUCCAUUUAACCAAUAAAUACAAACUCUGGAAAAAAAACAUUCUGGAAUAUAAAAGUGUUUGUUAGUAUUUUAAGGUCAAGUUUAAAAAUGAUGUUUUUGAAGAAGCAUCAACUAGUUGUCUUUCUUUGCAAAUGUGUGUGUGUGUUGCCUCUAGUUACUCUAACAAACUCUUAAUGGUAAUUAAUCCCCGCGAUGUGGGGAACAAUUAAGUAAUUUAUAAUCAUUGUUACAAUGGUGAUUAUUUUACUGCAUUUUUGAAUUUUUUGUACACGUGAGAAUUUGCAAAGUAAAGCAUUGCAUGCUUUAUAUGUUGGUAUACUGCUUACAUGAGAAAAUUCAACAUGAAUAUGUGAUUAUAUGUGAAUGGAAAAUUGGAAGAAUACAUGGCAGAGAGGUGGAAACACAAGAACUGCUUCUGUGUUCUGCAUUUGAAUUUUAAAAGAUUUAAAAAGGAACAUUUAAACAACAGAGGGAAUUUUAAAGAGACAGUCUGUACCUCCCUUCAUGCUUGCCUUUCAACAUCUUCAGAGUUCUGACUAUUUUACUCAGCUUUGUUUUCCCAGUGGCUGUUAUGAAUGUUUUUUUGUGAAUGAUCAUACAAACAACAUGCAAUUUAGAGACUAGUGCAGCAGAGUCGUAAAAUAUUAAAACAAAGCGUAUUGGAUCACCUGAGGAAAGAAGCAGCUAGACAGUGGGAUUGGAGGGGAUUAUGAAGCAAUUAAGACAUUUGUAGAUAACCUAAGAACAGCUGACAUCAUCAGAAACACCCUUCAGUGGAGAUCUUUAAUUCAUAAGUCUUAAUUGCAAACCACAGGAGAGGGUAGUUCCAAGAAGGUAUACCUUUGCCAUCUUUUUUUUAAUACCAAGAAUGACACCACCAGUGAAUGGUCUUUUGCUCUACUCCUCACUGCAGUAUUCUUCACUUCCAGGAAUAACCUUUGGCAAUAUGAUCUUAAGGCAUGUGUGGACCACAGGGGAAAAUGAUAACAUUGCUUCUACCACCACUUUCACCAAAACUAAGAUACAGUCUUCCUAAGAAGGCUUGCCGACUCCUCCUCCUUUGUGUGUGUGGCACUAGGCACUCUGUGAAGAUGAGAAAAAGACUGAGAAAUGAAAAAGCUCAUUUAUGAAGUGACCCACAUGUAUCAUCAUAAUGAUUUCUAACCCAGCAUGUUGACUGCUUUCGUUGUUCCCACUGGACUAAAUCCCCGGAACCAGAAUGUCAGAGACAUUAGUACCCAGAGACGCUCGGGGUGACGGAAUGGACGGCUCCAUCCCAGUGGUCCCAUAAAUGCGAAGUGCAUGUGUUUCCAAUUCUCACUUAUUACUGGAUAAAUUUUAAAAGCUUAGUCAUAAAAAUCAGUUUUCAAUAAAUUUAGAAGACAUACUAAUUUUUUAAGUAAAAUAUUUUUCCUUCUGAAGUAUCUUUUCUCCUGAUUCUACUCCCCAGUUUUAUCUGCUAUUGAUGGGAUUUUCUUCACAUUCUUUUGGGGUAUGUUCAUAAACAAUAUGUAAGUAGUGUUUUAGGGGAUCAUAAUUUAUUUUCUCCUUUACCCCUUUCUUGAGCCCCUUGUUCUAAUUUGUUUAUAUAGCUUUACCUCUCUUGGUAAAAGAUAUGUAAAUUCAUUGAUGACAUGUUCUUUAAUAGAUCUUUAUGUACUUUUAUUGGAAUAAUUCCUGUGAAUUGAAACUGCUGGGGCAAAAGAAAGGAAAAUAUGCAUUUUGAGUGAAAAUUCCCUCUAAAAGUAAGGCAGUCAACUUGAUCAUGAUCACAUUAAUAGUCAUUUGUAUUUCACUUCUGUGUUCUCAUUAUUCUUGGAAUGUUUUCAUUUCUCUUGAAAUAAUAGGUACUUUCUACUGA